rnacentral:rRNA from 1 species
GACGAACGCUGGCGGCGUGCCUAAUACAUGCAAGUAGAACGCAGUUGCGAACGGGUGAGUAACGCGUAGGUAACUGCCUGGUAGCGGGGGCUAACUAUUGGAAACGAUAGCUAAUACCGCAUACUACCAGAUGGACCUGCGUUGGAUUAGCUAGUUGGUGAGGUAACGGCUCACCAAGUCAACGAUACAUAGCCGACUUGAGAGGGUGAUCGGCCACAACGGGACUGAGAAAAGGCCCAGACGCCUACGGGAGGCAGCAGUAGGGGAACUUUGGGAAAGGGGGGAACCCUGACCGAGCAACGCCGCGGGAGUGAAGAAGGUUUUCGGAGCGGAAAGCUCUGUUGGUAAGGAAGCGGUACUUAACCAGAAAGGGACGGCUAACUACGUGCCAGCAGCCGCGGUAAUAC